AGCGCAACCUUGCCAAGGUUGAGGUCACGAGUUCGAACCUCGUGUGUCGCUCCA
rnacentral:tRNA from 1 species